GGAGAGGUCGCAUAGCGGACUAGUGCGGCAGUCUUGAAAACUGCUAAGGGCGCAAGCUCUUCGUGGGUUCGAAUCCCACCCUCUCCG
rnacentral:tRNA from 6 species